UACAUAGGUGGCAAGCGUUAUCCGGAUUUAUUGGGCGUAAAGCGUGCGCAGGCGGUUUUGUAAGACAGAGGUGAAAUCCCCGGGCUCAACCUGGGAACUGCCUUUGUGACUGCAAAGCUAGAGUACGGUAGAGGGGGAUGGAAUUCCGCGUGUAGCAGUGAAAUGCGUAGAUAUGCGGAGGAACACCGAUGGCGAAGGCAAUCCCCUGGACCUGUACUGACGCUCAUGCACGAAAGCGUGGGGAGCAAACAGG
rnacentral:rRNA from 1 species